GGGAACAGAUAUAAGGGUGCAGGUCAUCUGACUCGCUGCUCACUUCUCAUCUCUCCGUGUUCCCUGUUGGAUCAGCUCGCUACUGCUGCGCCCGACUGCACACAAGGCUUCAGUAUUAGUACUUCCAAGUUAAAGUUGUAAACAGCCUGUGGAAUUGGAAAUAUCUUCACAUGCAUUUGAAGACUGUGUUUCUAUUUCAUGACCUCUGUUUCCUGCUGGCCCCUGAUCAUUCUGUUCUGAACUGUUUUCUGACCAGCUAUUCAAGAGCUAAAGGGGAAUGAAUGAUAUUCUUGUGAUCAUUUAUAUUACAUGAAAAUACUUUAAUGCGUACUACGUAAAAGACAUAUUAAACUCCUCAGGCACUUUCUUCAUACAAAUUUGAGUACUUUCAAGAAUGUACUUUAUCUUUUUUGUCAGCCCAAAGUACAUGAAGUACCCUAUUUCAGGAAACAGCCCCAGUUCCAGAAUUCUUAUUAGCAAUUCACCGUUACCUUAUGAACGCUACCUUUUAUGCUACUUACUGGAAGAACUCGUAAAUACAGGAAAGGACAACUGUGUGGAAGGGCAAAUUCAUCAAGGCCAAAACUAGGGUUUGGAAGAAGUCAUGCAACCAAUGCAUCUGAUUGGAAUUCAGCCUGUUAAGGUGCCUGGUCAUUCAUGUGUUAGAUAAAGAUGGAAAUAGACUCCCAUAGGACACCCAUCUCAGCACAAGCCAUCUUGGAUGGACAGGGACUUCCAGAUGUUUUCCAAGCAAGUGAACAAGUCUUCCUGUCUCACCAGUCUUCUGUAAAAGCAGCCAAUAU
ensembl:lncRNA